rnacentral:misc_RNA from 1 species
AAGAGACGUUGCCCUUCGGGGUAUACCUCCCACCCUUUGUUUAUUAUACCUUUGUUGCUUUGGCGGGCCCGUCCUCGGACCACCGGCUUCUGCUGGUCAGUGCCCGCCAGAGGACCUAAACUCUGUUUGUUAAUAUUGUCUGAGUACUAUAUAAUAGUUA